rnacentral:rRNA from 1 species
UUCUGUAAGCCUGUGAAGGUGAGUUGAGAAGCUUGCUGGAGGUAUCAGAAGUGCGAAUGCUGACAUGAGUAACGACAAUGGGUGUGAAAAACACCCACGCCGAAAGACCAAGGGUUCCUGCGCAACGUUAAUCGACGCAGGGUUAGUCGGUUCCUAAGGCGAGGCUGAAAAGCGUAGUCGAUGGGAAACAGGUUAAUAUUCCUGUACUUCUGGUUACUGCGAUGGAGGGACGGAGAAGGCUAGGCCAGCUUGGCGUUGGUUGUCCAAGUUUAAGGUGGUAGGCUGAAAUCUUAGGUAAAUCCGGGGUUUCAAGGCCGAGAGCUGAUGACGAGUCGUCUUUUAGAUGACGAAGUGGUUGAUGCCAUGCUUCCAAGAAAAGCUUCUAAGCUUCAGGUAACCAGGAACCGUACCCCAAACCGACACAGGUGGUCGGGUAGAGAAUACCAAGGCGCUUGAGAGAACUCGGGUGAAGGAACUAGGCAAAAUGGCACCGUAACUUCGGGAGAAGGUGCGCCGGCUAGGGUGAAGGAUUUACUCCGUAAGCUCUGGCUGGUCGAAGAUACCAGGCCGCUGCGACUGUUUAUUAAAAACACAGCACUCUGCAAACACGAAAGUGGACGUAUAGGGUGUGACGCCUGCCCGGUGCCGGAAGGUUAAUUGAUGGGGUUAGCGCAAGCGAAGCUCUUGAUCGAAGCCCCGGUAAACGGCGGCCGUAACUAUAACG